UACGGAGGGGGCAAGCGUUGUUCGGAGUCACUGGGCGUAAAGGGCGCGUAGGCGGUGCGUCAAGUCGGGCGUGAAAGCCCCGGGCUUAACCUGGGAAUUGCGCUUGAUACUGACGCGCUCGAGAGCGGGAGAGGAUGGCGGAAUUCCCAGUGUAGAGGUGAAAUUCGUAGAUAUUGGGAAGAACACCGGUGGCGAAGGCGGCCAUCUGGACCGUUUCUGACGCUGAGGCGCGAAAGCGUGGGGAGCAAACAGG
rnacentral:rRNA from 1 species